rnacentral:rRNA from 1 species
GGCGGACGGGUGAGUAACACGUGGGCAACCUGCCUGUAAGACUGGGAUAACUUCGGGAAACCGGAGCUAAUACCGGAUAACACCGAGGACCUCAUGGUCCUUGGUUGAAGGAUGGCUUCGGCUAUCACUUGCAGAUGGGCCCGCGGCGCAUUAGCUAGUUGGUGAGGUAACGGCUCACCAAGGCGACGAUGCGUAGCCGACCUGAGAGGGUGAUCGGCCACACUGGGACUGAGACACGGCCCGGACUCCUACGGGAGGCAGCAGUGGGGAAUAUUGCGCAAUGGGCGAAAGCCUGACGCAGCGACGCCGCGUGAGGGAUGACGGCCUUCGGGUUGUAAACCUCUUUCAGUAGGGACGAAGCGCAAGUGACGGUACCUACAGAAGAAGCACCGGCCAACUACGUGCCAGCAGCCGCGGUAAUACGUAGGGUGCAAGCGUUGUCCGGAAUUAUUGGGCGUAAAGAGCUCGUAGGCGGUCUGUCACGUCGGCUGUGAAAACCCGAGGCUCAACCUCGGGCCUGCAGUCGAUACGGGCAAACUAGAGUACUGCAGGGGAGACUGGAAUUCCUGGUGUAGCGGUGAAAUGCGCAGAUAUCAGGAGGAACACCGGUGGCGAAGGCGGGUCUCUGGGCAGUAACUGACGCUGAGGAGCGAAAGCGUGGGGAGCGAACAGGAUUAGAUACCCUGGUAGUCCACGCCGUAAACGUUGGGCGCUAGGUGUGGGGGCCAUUCCACGGUCUCCGUGCCGCAGCUAACGCAUUAAGCGCCCCGCCUGGGGAGUACGGCCGCAAGGCUAAAACUCAAAGGAAUUGACGGGGGCCCGCACAAGCAGCGGAGCAUGUGGGUUUAAUUCGACGCAACGCGCAGAACCUUUACCUGGGUUAAAUCCGCCGGAACUUGCAGAGAUGUGAGGGUGCUCUUCGGAGAAUCGGCGAGAAGGUGCUGCAUGGCUGUCGUCAGCUCGUGUCGUGAGAUGUUGGGUUGUCCCGCAAGAGCGCAACCCUAUCGUAGUGCUACCGGUUAGGCCGAGCCCUCUAACCGGAGACUGCCGACGUUAAGUCGGAGGAAGGUGGGGAUGACGUCAAGUCCUCAUGGCCCUUAUGCCCAGGGCUACACACGUGCUACAAUGGCCGGUACAAAGAGUCGCAAGCUCGCGAGAGCAAGCCAAUCCCAAAAAACCGGUCUCAGUUCGGAUUGAAGUCUGCAACUCGACUUCAUGAAGUCGGAAUCGCUAGUAAUCGCGGAUCAGCACGCCGCGGUGAAUACGUUCCCGGGCCUUGUACACACCGCCCGUCACACCAUGGGAGUCAGUUGCUCCAGAAACGGGUUGCCUAACCGCAAGGGGGGCGCUCUUUAAGGGGUGACUGGUAACUGGGGUGAAGUCGUAACAAGGUAGCCGUAG